AGUGAACGCUGGCGGUAGGCCUAACACAUGCAAGUCGAACGGCAGCACAGUAAGAGCUUGCUCUUACGGGUGGCGAGUGGCGGACGGGUGAAGAAUACAUCGGAAUCUACUUUUUCGUGGGGGAUAACGUAGGGAAACUUACGCUAAUACCGCAUAGGACCUACGGGUGAAAGCAGGGGAUCUUCGGACCUUGCGCGAUUGAAUGAGCCGAUGUGGUGUUGGCUAGUUGGCGGGGUAAAGGCCCACCAAGCCGACGAACCGUCGCUGGGCUGCGAGGAUGCGCAGGAAGACCGGAACGGAGACACGGUCCAGACCCCUACGGGAGGCAGCAGAGGGGAAGAGUGGAAAAUGGGAGGAAGCCUGAUCCAGCCAUACCGCGUGGGUGAAGAAGGCAUUCGGGUUGUAAAGCCCUUUGUUGGGAAAGAAAAGCAGCAGGUUAAUACCCCGCUGUUCUGACGGUACUCAAAGAAUAAGCACCGGCUAACUUCGUG
rnacentral:rRNA from 1 species